UAGGGAAUCUUCCGCAAUGGGCGAAAGCCUGACGGAGCAACGCCGCGUGAGUGAUGAAGGUCUUCGGAUCGUAAAACUCUGUUAUUAGGGAAGAACAAAUGUGUAAGUAACUAUGCACGUCUUGACGGUACCUAAUCAGAAAGCCACGGCUAACUACGUGCCAGCAGCCGCGGUAAUACGUAGGUGGCAAGCGUUAUCCGGAAUUAUUGGGCGUAAAGCGCGCGUAGGCGGUUUUUUAAGUCUGAUGUGAAAGCCCACGGCUCAACCGUGGAGGGUCAUUGGAAACUGGAAAACUUGAGUGCAGAAGAGGAAAGUGGAAUUUCAUGUGAAGCGGUGAAAUGCGCAGAGAUAUGGAGGAACACCAGUGGCGAAGGCGACUUUCUGGUCUGUAACUGACGCUGAUGUGCGAAAGCGUGGGGAUCAAACAGG
rnacentral:rRNA from 1 species